GCUGGGUGUGGUGGCGCAUGCCUGUAGUCCUAGCUACUCAGGAGGCUGAGACAGGAGAAUCACUUGAACCCAGGAGGUGGAGGUUGCAGUGAGCCAAGAUCCUGCCACUGCACUCCAGCCUGGGUGACAAAGCAAGACUCUGUCUCAA
rnacentral:SRP_RNA from 1 species